rnacentral:rRNA from 1 species
CGUAGGUGAACCUGCGGAAGGAUCAUUAUUGAAUUUAAAUUGAAGUGAGUUGUCGCUGGCCCUUUGGGGCAUGUGCACGCUUGCUCUCAUUUAAUUAAACCACCUGUGCACUUAUUGUAGACUUUGGAAUGAUCUUCAAGCUUUCAUUAGCUUGGUUUGAGGAAUUGCAUUAGCUUUCCUUGUAUUUCCUAGUCUAUGUUUUCAUAUACCCCCAAUGUAUGUCUUUGAAUGUCAUUAAUGGGCUGUCAAAAGCCUUUGAAAUUAAUACAACUUUCAACAACGGAUCUCUUGGCUCUCGCAUCGAUGAAGAACGCAGCGAAAUGCGAUAAGUAAUGUGAAUUGCAGAAUUCAGUGAAUCAUCGAAUCUUUGAACGCACCUUGCGCUCCUUGGUAUUCCGAGGAGCAUGCCUGUUUGAGUGUCAUUAAAUUCUCAACCUCUUCAAUUUUGAAUUGAAUUGGCUUGGAUAUGGGAGUUGCGGGCUUCUUAGCAAGUCGGCUCUUCUCAAAUGCAUUAGUGGAACUUUGUUUGUUGACCAUCAGUGGUGUGAUAAUUAUCUACGCCAUUUCUGAUGUAAAGCAAUACAUUAUAAAGUUCAGCUUCUAACCGUCCAUUGACUUGGACAAUCUUUUUAAUUGACUAUUUGACCUCAAAUCAGGUAGA